rnacentral:rRNA from 1 species
AUUGAACGCUAGCGGGAUGCCUUACACAUGCAAGUCGAACGGAGUGGCGAACGGGUGAUUAAUGUAUCGGAACGUUCCCAGUAGCGGGGGAUAAUACUGCGAAAGCGUAGUUAAUACCGUACACUAUUGGAGUGGCCGAUAUCGGUUUAGCUCGUUGGUGGGGUCACGGCUAGCCAAGGCGACGAUCCGUACCUGGUUUGAGAGGAAGACCAGCCACACUGGGACGGAGACACGGCCCAGACUCCUACGAGAGGCAGCAAUGGGGAAGUUUGGACAAUGGGGGAAACCCUGAUCCAGCCAUCGCGCGUGUGCAAUGAAGGCCUUCGGGUUAUAAAGCACUUUUGGCAGGAAAGCGGUACCUGCAGAAUAAGCACCGGCAAACUACGUGCCAGCAGCCGCGGUGAUUC